rnacentral:SRP_RNA from 1 species
GCCGGGCGUGGUGGCGGGCGCCUGUAAUCCCAGCUACUCAGGAGGCUGAGGCAGGAGAAUUGCUUGAACCCGGGAGGCGGGGGUUGCAGUGAGCCGAGAUCGCACCACUGCACUCCAGCCUGGGCGACAGAGCAAGACUCUGUCUAAA